rnacentral:lncRNA from 1 species
AUAGUUGAGUGGUCUGCACACUGGCCCAGUGCAGUCAGUGUCUGUGAAAAUGGACACAGAUUUUUCCCUUUCGAGACACACACUCCUUGACACUGAGGAGUGGCUGCGUACUUUCCCAGCCCUUGAUUCUGGAUUAGCCUUCAAGCUUAUGUAGAUGUGACAGAGCACAGGACCCCAACCUAGGCCUCAAGAGGCUGUGUCCCCUCGUGGCAGCGAGCUUCGGCUGGUGGAUCAUAUUGGGCAGAGAGAAAACAUCGUUGUUCCAGAAGCCGAGAUUCAGUCUUGCCUGCUCUGUUUAUGGUCAGCUAGCGUUCAGCACGUUUUGGAUCUCUCUGAUGAUCUUACUCAGGGAUGUAGUGAGAACUAAAGAAGGCAAGGCAGGAAAGCACCGGUGUGAAGUAGCUGUCGGGAAGGCCAUUUUAUUGGCUGUUUUCAAGGAGACAAAGGUUCAACUAUGCAGGGGCUGGGAUGUGGCUGAGUGCAGCUGGACUGAAGGUGGCAGGGAAAUGGAUUACCCCACUCUAAAAGGAGAUAACCACAACAAGGUCUGUAGUGGCAAGAUACAAAACGGGAGAGUGAAGAACUAGACACACCACAUCCAUCUACCACAAACUGUGCAGUGGCAGCCAAAGAUGCAUAGCCUCCCUGGCUGUGCACUCACUUGUACCAUGUGACGUCCUGAAAGCCUCGUCUCAUAAUCGCUUCAGAUGUCCCAUCCAGAUCUCAUCACCUAACCACAGACUUAUGAAUUUAAAAAGAGAAAUGAUGUAUCUUGGCCACUCCUGACAUACAGACGUGGAAGAAUGGGGACAGAGCGGGGACACAGGAAGCACACCUUGUUUAACAGCAGAAGCUGCUCCGUCUAGUAGAAGGACAGAUGCCUUCCUCCUGUAGCAAGGAAAACACCUGGAAAACCUUUCAUCUGUGUCAGUGUGUACACAUAUGCUCUUGUGGGGAGGGGAGCCAACAGAGGCCAGAGGGGAUGCUGUUUGCUGGAGUUAACAGGCAGCCGUGUAGCCAUCUUUCCAGCUCCAUCAACUGGAAAGUGAUGGACCAAGAUCACACAAUCAAACACACUGCUCUGCAUGCUGACCUAAAUAUUAAUUUUAAGACUUUAACACUUUUAGAGAACAGAAACCCAACUAAAGAUGUCCCAAAUUAAAGUGGGGACAUUGCACAGAACCAUGUGGCUCAAGGCUAGACGGCCCGCUGCCCCUCACCCCUGUUGUCCUCACCACCUCUGCCAUGGUGUGUGCUUUAGACAGACUUAAGUCACCUCCGGCCCUUCAAAUUUUGGUGACGCCACUGGAAGGUGAUGGUCUAAGGGGACACAGACUCAGAAUGUUCACCCACUGGGGUAAAUAGGCUGAGACAGUCUGUGGUGUGGAAUGUUCAGUCUUACAAUGACAGAGGCACCAUACUGACAAGGCUGGCACAAAAUGACUUGAAGUGUACUCACUUGUUGGCAGCAGAGGCUGCUGGGGCAGACUGGUUAGCUUGGGUUGUUUUUUUUCAAGCGUUCUCAUGCCACGGACAAGUUCAUCAUGGUGAACUUAAUGCAAGUACUAAGUGUAACCUAUUCAACACCUGAGAAAUGGUUACAUAAAUUAACGGCACAUGGUUGAAGACAGAGUUGAAUCAGUUUUAAUGACUUUCAAUACAGACUCACAAAUGGAUGCAAGCACACUCAGGGUUUUGAAAGGGGGGAGAUGUUGGGCCCCAUUUUGGCCUUGAUUUGGGUCUUGAGGACAAACCCGAGCCUGGUUCCAGUUUGGAGACCUGUCUCAGUCACUUCCAUAUCAGGGUGACUCAGCAAAACCUGUUUUAGCCCUGCCUCUGCUGAUGAAGAGCUUUGCCACUGGCCCUGUCAGUCACUCCAUACCCUCUGUUACCCUUCCCCACCUCCUAUGUCAUCUUACCCCACCAAAAAUCCCCUUCCCUAUGUUCUGAACUUAUAUAAGUGAGAGGCUGAUGCCAUAGAGUUCCUGCUUUGACAGA